rnacentral:lncRNA from 10 species
CACAUGGAAAUCUCAUGGCUGAUUGAAAACCUACCAAAGGACACAAUAAAUAAUUAUUCUGUAGGAAAACUCAGCCAGCCAAGCCUGCCCCACCUCACAUGUCUGUCACUCUUGGACAAGGAACAAGAUAGAGAUUCUCAACUGGCUGAAGGAUACACAAGAUGUCUUAUUUGUGUGUCACUUGUUUGUGUUACUAAUGACUCCUGCUGACACCACCCUUGCUUCUUCAGGUCAGUGGGUCUUCGUGCCUUAGGUCUCUGCAUUACCAUCCCCUCUUCAUUGGAGCUACUUUGCUGAGAGAGUGGGUUAGGGUAUGAACCUUAUGGUCUAGUAAUAAAGUCCACACUUGCAGGCUUUGCAGACAGAAUGGCAAAUAAUUUUCAAUCUGCAUACUAGUACUAAUUAAUCGAUAGUGGCUACUUAGAUGCUGUGUUGAGAGUGAUUCUUAGGUCACAUCUGGGGUAAGCAGGAAGAAUUUUGUCUCAUUUGAUACUCUAAGUACUGUUGGCCUUCCCAUACUAACAAGGAUUUUUAGGGAAAAAAAUUUUACAGAAUGUCAAAAAAGCAAUUGCUCUGGGGAAAGGCAAGCCUGGAUUUGCCUCCUCUGCUAUCUGUGUUUUGGGGAAAGACCAUAGAAGCCUAAGUCCAGAUACCUUUAUUUGUGAAAAAGAGACAACAGCACCCACCCCACAGAGUUGCAAAAAAUGAUUUAGCAGAUGUUAAAAUCUAGCACAUCCCUGGAACAUGUUUACUAAUUCAAAGUACAUUAUUUCUACUUCCUGACUAGAAAAAGACCAUAUUUUUUCAUGCAAAAAUCUCAGAUAUAUCAUUGGGUAUAAAAAUUAUCUGAUGGAAACAUGACUGAAAGACUAGAUGUUUUCAGUCUGGGACAGAAUGUUAGAUCAAUAUGACUGUCAACAAGUUUGUCUCUCUAUGCGGGACACAAAAUUGAGAAGCAGGGACUUGAAGUGAAUAAAAAUGUAAUUUAAUACACAAUCAAAUAAAAAUUCUACAGCUUUAGAAUCAGAGAAUAUUCUUGGAAUGGACCCUUUUUCAGUACCAUAAAUUUAACCAACUGAAUUCUUUAAGUAUCUGCCUUGUCAACCCUUUGAAAUGAAGGUUGAUUAGGUUCAACGGGAAAUCUACAUUUCAUCAUGAAAAUGGAACACAACGUGUCCUUGGCUAGUCUCCCAUGGAGUAGCAAUUUGGGGCACUGUGUGCAAAGCAUGAAGCAAAAACACAGGUAGAAAAUUUAUUUCAGGCAUGACAAACAGGAGGCAUGCAUAUGCAUAGCCCAAGAAGCAUGAAAAGUCAGAGCUUCCAUUCUCACUGCACAGGCCUCCGUAAAAGGAAAACACAAAGGGGCUUCUUCAGCCUUUUAUUUUACAAACAGUAGUUUAUGAGAAUGGAGACAUUACAAGAAAAGGAGACACUUAAGAUUAAGUGAGUUGAUGUGUUUAAAUAUUAGGAGGAACAGAAACUCAAUUAUCGAGGGGUAAAUGCAGCAAUAGCAAGUCUCGUCAAAGAAAUCAAGCCCCAUUGGGUGUUUCUCACAUUCUUGCUUCUUUUGACAAGGUUUAAUGCAGAACCCAAGAGAAUUUGACUAUCUAAUAACCUGAGCAAAUAAAGUGUAGAGGAAGAACAAGUGUGCACAUUAUGCAUCUCAAUUCUAAGACAACAGUGAAUGGUCUACUAGAUUUAGCAGGUAAAUUAAGGAGUCUGUUAGCAAUGAGGUGCAAGCUGGCACACCCUCAAUUCUGGCUGUUACCAGCCAAGGCACAGACAUAACUGAUGUUUCUCCAAUACGACCAAGAUGUGUCACCUAAUCCAGAGAGAACACAUUAUCUAUAACAGGCUUAAAGUCAGUUUGGAGGCCAAAAUGUUGCCAAUGUUUUCAGAUCAAGUAAUAGGCCUCUGAAAAGCUGAGUAAGCUGUUUGGCUGAUGGAACAGUUAAAAUUGAAGGGACAGUUCAAUGGACUGACACUGGUUAAGAGAAUCAUUUAGUCAAGUUCAUGACAUACUCUUCCUCAAUCUUGUACCUUUAAAUCAAGUUAACCCUCCCCUGGAGCAAGUGGCUGGUGGCCAGUUAACUUGAGAAGGAUAGGCAGCCCAUUCCCUGUAAUUGUUCUGGCCCUGAACUCCCCAAGCAGGCCCACUGAGCCUUUGGAACAACAGAGCAAAGUGCAGCAAGCAGGAAAUACAAUUUGGUGAAGUCAUGCCAAUGAGUACCCAGAACGCAUCUGGAACUAUGCUUGGCCUUAUGGAUAUGCUUGGUAUUGUGGAUACAUACACUGAUGAAACGUGACUCUUCCUGCAAAGAGCUCACCUUUGAGUGGGGAAAAUAGGUGGUAAAUGUUAGCCAAUAAUGCAAAAUGGUAGAGUUGGAUAUAAAUUGAAAUGUGAAAGGACAGCUACUUUUGACUCAAAAACGUAAAGCAGAAGUCAGAUAAAAUGAUAGAGAAGUAGUGAUCCUUAAACAGCGAUGAAGAGUUUUCCCUGUGAACAAAAGAGGAGAGCACAUUUCAGGCAAUGGAAACAAGAGCCAAUGUGUGGAGGGAUGAUAUAUAUGGCAUGGCUAAGGAGUCACAAUAGAGUUCAGGGUGGCUGGACCAGAGAAGCUGUGUUCUAACUCCGAGAUUUUGAACCUUUGGGACAAGGAGGGGAGAUCUUGAUCUCUUCCAUGGUGUCCUACAAAAUGCCUGCACCUAGUGCCUCAUCUAGCUGAGACUGUAGUCCUGGGAAGACAAAGUUACUAAUGACAAUAUCCCAUACCCUUUACUCCCUUCUCUGAUAAGAUUUAAUAUUUUUAGCAAAUGUUUUCUUUCAGCAAAUAUUCAUUGAGCAUCUAUUAUCUGCUAGUACUAUGAAAGGCACUGAUAUUUUAGAAGUAUUGUCAUUAAAUGGAAUUAAUAUAGGAUAAAAGUAAAAGUCUGAAACCAGUCUGUCUGGGUUCAAAGUUUAGUUUCGACACUUAGCAGCUGUACAAUUUUAGAUAAGGGACUUCAUUUUUAAAAUACAGAUAAUACUAGUAUUCCUCUAUAGCAUGGCUGAGGAUUAAAUGACAAAAAUCAUGUAUAAUACUUAGAACAUCACCAGUUAUAAAAAGUGCCCCGUAAGAACUGGUUGUAAUCAUUAUCUUUGGGUGCUAGAAUGAACAGUGCACAGAGUGAACUGUCAACAUAACUAUUAAUUCUGGGAGGGAAUCUUUUGUCAGGCAUAUGCAUCCCUCCCUCACCUUUUCAUCAGUGUUGCACUGCUCUGCAACAGAAGUAACAUCCUUUCCUCAUGGCUCCAGGAUGUCUUCCCUGCGUAGUGGAAGAACUCAUUUUGUUGGGUUAUUUCACCUAGGGAUUGUAUUCAUUCCUCACAGAGCAUCAAGACCCCCAAUAUCUAAACGAUCCUUCUCAACUUUAACCCACACUCAUAUUUUCACUGACAGGCAACAAAUGCUGUUUGCAGCACUUGUGAAACCCAUUUAUUUUAACAUGAAAUAAGCUUGUUCCUGACAGAUUGCAGCAAGAAAG